rnacentral:rRNA from 1 species
GACGUAGGGCGCGAGCGUUGUCCGGAUUUAUUGGGCGUAAAGAGCUCGUAGGCGGCUUGUCGCGUCUGCCGUGAAAGUCCGGGGCUCAACUCCGGAUCUGCGGUGGGUACGGGCAGACUAGAGUGCGGUAGGGGAGACUGGAAUUCCUGGUGUAGCGGUGAAAUGCGCAGAUAUCAGGAGGAACACCGGUGGCGAAGGCGGGUCUCUGGGCCGUAACUGACGCUGAGGAGCGAAAGCGUGGGGAGCGAACAGG